GAUGAACGCUGGCGGCGUGCCUAAUACAUGCAAGUCGAACGAACGGACGAGAAGCUUGCUUCUCUGAUGUUAGCGGCGGACGGGUGAGUAACACGUGUAUAACCUACCUAUAAGACUGGGAUAACUUCGGCAAACCGUAGCUAAUACCGGAUAAUAUUUUGAACCUCAUUGUUCAAAAGUGAAAUACGGUCUUUCUGUCACUUAUAGAUGGCUCCGCGCUGCAUUAGCUAGUUGUUAAGGUAACGGCUUACCAAGGCAACGAUGCAUAGACGACCUGAGCGGGUCGUUGGCCACACGGUCAGUGAGACAGGUUCGCGACACCUACAGGAGGACGCGGUAGGGAAUCUUACGCAAGGGGGGAGAGCGUGACAUAGCACAGUGGGGGGAGUGAUGAAGGUCUUAGGAUGCUAAAGUUAUGUUAGUAUGGAAGAACAAAUGUGUAAGUAACUGUGAUGAUAUUGACGGUACCUAGUCAGAAAGCCACGGCUAACUACGUG
rnacentral:rRNA from 1 species